rnacentral:rRNA from 1 species
UACGGAGGGUGCAAGCGUUGCUCGGAAUCAUUGGGCGUAAAGCGCACGUAGGCGGACCGCUAAGUCUGAUGUGAAAGCCCUCGGCUUAACCGAGGAAGUGCAUUCGAAACUGACAGUCUUGAGUAUGGAAGAGGGUCGCGGAAUUCCCGGUGUAGAGGUGAAAUUCGUAGAUAUCGGGAGGAACACCAGUGGCGAAGGCGGCGACCUGGGCCAAUACUGACGCUGAGGUGCGAAAGCGUGGGGAGCAAACAGG